UGGUUUAUGCCUACAAAUCCAACCCUAUCACUGCUAUACCUCUUUAAAAUUUCUCACCAAUCUUUAAAAUCAAACCAGAAAAAUUAGUCUUUUCCACCCUUUUUAUGUAAGAAAUUCCAUGGAAGAAAUUGCAUCUUUUCUGGCGUAAUCUGCAUUUGGCCUUAAUUUCAAAAUUGCUUGUUUUUCCAGAGAAACUAAAGGACUUUCCUGAGGAAUUGCAACCAAGUAAUCAUGAAGUAGAAAUCGAUGCACCUUUCGAUUUCAAGUGUUCCAGCAAGUGAGAGCUGAACUUAUGGAGCUUCUGAAUGGGAUUCGGGCUUCCAAUAGUACUGAAGUGCCAGGCACUGAAUCUGAAUGGAAGAAAAGGCAUUUUGUUGCGCAUGCUGACUGGAAGCAAAGACAAGAGGAGAGUUGGGAGGAGGUGCAGGAGCCAGUAUUGAGGUCAAUACUUAGGUAAAUGGGAAAACAUAGUUCAUCAUGUGCAGUUUGUGUCUCAUGUGCGUCGUCAGCUGUUUUCAGAUGCUUCAAAGAGUCGGGCUUCUCUACGAAAGCGUCUUGAAAAGGAGAGAAAGCAACUUCAGCAUUGUGUUAGUCUGCUGUCAUGUUUCUGUGGACGAAGUCACGCAAGAGGACUAUUUGUUGCCUUGGCAUAAUCCUGCAGGGAACAAGGGAGAAACAUUUGCUUUGAAGAAGAAAAUAGUUGAUAUACAUGAACACAUGACCAGGUACAUCGAGGAAUUGCCUGUGCUCAUUCAAGAGAUGGUAUCAACUGUUCUUUUCUUCAAGAAAAAAUCAACACCUUGGAAGACAGAAUCAACACCGUGAACAAUGAGGCCAUCAAAAACCAAGAAAACCAUGGAUUGGUGAUGUUGCUGCUGGAAUCAAAGGAAUUCUACACAGACCUUCUCCUAGAAGCAACAGAUGUAUUUGAAUGUAUAGACACUGACAUAGAGAUCGUGGUGUAUUUUGAGGAAGGGGAGGUGCAACC